CUGCUGCUGUCGGGAGCUGCCGCCGCGGGUGCGAGCUCCGGAGAAGACAGACCCAUGGACUCUCGUUAGUGUAUCAGCACUGACACUGCCUGAAGUCAAGUGGCAGCAGGAGUGGCAUGUCCAGACAUAAGCAGAGCCAGCAGCUUUUUCUGCCUCACUUGUACUCAAGAGCCUUCUAUUUAGAAGCCACUUCAAGCUCUUCUGCUCUCCUUCAUGUUGAACAUGAGCCUUGUUAUGAUCAUUGAGAAUGUGAAGUUGGCCCGUGAAUAUGCCUUACUGGGAAAUUAUGACUCUGCAAUGGUCUACUACCAGGGAGUUCUUGACCAAAUGAAUAAGUAUCUGUACUCUGUGAGAGAUACCUACCUGCAACAGAAGUGGCAGCAGGUUUGGCAGGAGAUAAGUGUGGAAGCUAAGCAUGUGAAAGAUAUAAUGAAAACACUGGAGAGUUUUAAACUAGACAAUACUCCACUGAAAGCCUCACAACAAGAAUUACCAGCUCAUGAUGCAGAAGUCUGGUCUUUGCCAGUACCUGCUGAA